GUGAUCCGGUGGUUCUGAAUGGAAGGGCCAUCGCUCAACGGAUAAAAGGUACUCCGGGGAUAACAGGCUGAUACCGCCCAAGAGUUCAUAUCGACGGCGGUGUUUGGCACCUCGAUGUCGGCUCAUCACAUCCUGGGGCUGAAGUAGGUCCCAAGGGUAUGGCUGUUCGCCAUUUAAAGUGGUACGCGAGCUGGGUUUAGAACGUCGUGAGACAGUUCGGUCCCUAUCUGCCGUGGGCGCUGGAGAACUGAGGGGGGCUGCUCCUAGUACGAGAGGACCGGAGUGGACGCAUCACUGGUGUUCGGGUUGUCAUGCCAAUGGCACUGCCCGGUAGCUAAAUGCGGAAGAGAUAAGUGCUGAAAGCAUCUAAGCACGAAACUUGCCCCGAGAUGAGUUCUCCCUGACCCUUUAAGGGUCCUGAAGGAACGUUGAAGACGACGACGUUGAUAGGCCGGGUGUGUAAGCGCAGCGAUGCGUUGAGCUAACCGGUACUAAUGAACCGUGAGGCUUAACCUUACAACGCCGAAGGUGUUU
rnacentral:rRNA from 1 species